UCAUUUGCCAGCGGACUGCGAUGACGGGAGUCAGCUUGAUCGUCACUAUCAAUGGAGCUCUCACUGGAAAUAGAGGCGGUGAUCAAAUCUCCAUCCAAGUCAGCAGGAUUUGCCCUACUACGUAUGCAUGCCGGUCUUGGAAGAGGUAAAAACAAUGAAGACUUGGAACCUUUUUCCAGUUUUGGCUUAGUGGAGAUACUAAUUUCAGAAGCUGUACGACUUACAGCUGCAGAGCGCAAACCAGGAAGUGGAAGUGGUUGAGCAUUGGACCUUUCAACAAAACUUUGACUCCUCCCUACUUGCUUGGAAGGGGAAGUUGAUCUAGAUUCUGCUCGGGACUGGGAUCCUAGCUCCGAAACUGUAUCAUUGCAAGGUCUGCGAGACCCUCCUGAUUUACUGCUUGCUUUACCUUCACAUGUGAUCUUAAUUUUUUGAUGUAUUGUGCAAAUUAUACCAUCCUUACUUGCUUUUUUCUUCGACGAUGACUUUCCCCACCAAGAACGCAUUUUUCUUAUUCUUCAAUAUUUACCAAAAAAAGAAUAAAGCAGCUGGAAAUUUCUUCUAAGGCAAUUCCGUUUCUAAAACCAACAACCAAUCGUGCAACACUUUAUUCUAAAAUUCUAAAACCUGAACAAAAAAAACAAUGAAAAAUAUAACAUGGUCAAUAAUUAGCAAGACUGUGUCUAUGUCACUGUCAACUCCAAAAUCAAAUUAAACAAAAGUGAGAAAAAUUGCAUGUCUGAAUGUUAUACUGAAGCAAUGAACUGAUCAAAAAAAAAAAAAAACCUCACAGGCAAUAUGAAAAGUCAAAAUUAGUCAGCCAAUUUUGACUGAUUAGCAAAGCUACCUCAUCCAACAACCUCAAAAAAGGAACCACAUUUUUAUACUUAAAACCGCGUAAAUUAAGCACGUCUUGUACGUGCAUUAUAUAUAAUCACAACGCAAAUCAUAUUAGUUCAAAUUUCUAACUACAUAUAGGAACUGGCAAAAUAAACACGUGCGCUAAAAAUAAAAUCUGAAAUUCAUUCACUAAAAAUAACUCGAUUUUUCUCAAAUGAACUAAACAGAGUUUUACGAUCUUUAACUUAGUUCAAAACGACGGCGUUAAUAGACAGAUCUCAGCACAGGCUAAAAAUAAAGACAUAAAAAAGAAUACUAAUAAUAAUAACAAAAAAUUGUACUCACCGGCACAUGUUUUAACGGCAGUUUGAAUCUGAAGUGAAGAAGAAACGUACGUCUGAGAGAUUAGUUGCGUAAUGUUGAGAUGAGAACUGGUUGAAUGUAAUCGUGGAGAAAUGAAAGAACCCUAGUCAAAACGGCAGCGUAUUGAGGGAUUCCUUUGCAAGAAGAAUUUUGUUGUUGUUGAGUUCAAAGAGAGAGAUCGCGUAAAAAGAAGACAGAGAUUGAUAGAAAUGUAGAGAGAGAAAGAGAAGGAAAGGGAAGAGAGAGAGAGUAUGUCUGAGCCCAAGACAUGGAGUUGUCUGUGCGUUGAUUUUACAAUUAUUAAAAAAAAUACAUAUAUAUAUAUAUAUAUUAAAAUUAUAUUAUAUUAUAAUUAUUAAAAAGUAAUGAUGGUGAUUGCCGCAUUGGUAAAUUUCCGAGUACAGUAAACUCGUUUUUAACCGUUAGUUACCCCAAAAAAAUUUAAAAAGAAAAAAAUCUUUAGGGGAGAUGGACUGAUGGAGCAUGCCACGUCAUCAUGCUGCUAAUUAUAAAUUUAUUAUGUAAUAAAUAUAAUAUGCGUCAAGAUGUCAUCUAAAAUAAUAAUAAUAAUAGAUAAUAUUAUGUACUGUAUUAAUAUUAUGUUCUGUAUUUGAUUAUUGCCAGAUUUUUCUUUAUUUGAAAGUGACUUUUUUUUGGUAAUUAUAAUUUUUUAUUUUACCGUUAUAGUAUAUUUUAGUUUAUUUAAUGACUUGCGUGGUCGAUCUUACUAAGAUUUUAAAAUUUUUCUUUAAAUUUAAUGUAAUGUUUUAGUGAUAUUACUCACUUAAUGUUUUUCAACACACAAAAUAUUAGCAACACAAUAUAAUAAACUACAAAUACUAAUAAAUAAAUAAACAAGCAAAAGAAGAAUUGUAACUUUAUAAUAUAUAUUCAAAAUUAAUAUAGAAAUUAUUUUUUUUUACAAGAAAUGAAAUAAUCGAAACCAGAAAUUAAUGAUUAUUGGAAUCUGCUUGUUUGAGUGCUCGAGGACAAGUUUAUUCCCCAUCAAAACAAAUUUAAAUGUUGACGAGAUAAACUGAUCAUCUCAACAUAUACGACCAGAUUUCUACAUCAAAAUUUGCUAUUGUGUUGCGCGUUGGGCUCACGACCUGCGUGGCUUAUUCUCAAAGAUCACAUGGGUUCAUUGCUGCUGCGCUACUAGUGCUAGGUUUGCUACUGUGUUGAGUGCUGGGCUUGCGAUUUGUGUGGCUACCUACUGCCUACUGCUGUGAUUUUCUGACUCACAUGCUGGGCUCAUGACGAUCGCUGGCGAUAACGGCUAUGAGGCUGAGAGGGUGCGGCUGUUGGCUAUGCGGUAGGCAGUUGGUGUCUUGUGUUGUUGUACAUUUGUUUCACUUGUUUAAUUUAUGGCUAGGGAUACGGUAGCCUCAAGCCUGUUUUGAUUUUGAUUUUUUUUUUAAUUUGAAUUAUUUUUUUAUUUUAUAUAUUAUAGAGUUUUUACUAAAGACCAUAAUCAGGCCCACUAUAUACAAACUUUAUAUCUUUUAUCCUUAAUAACGUGUCUAAGAAGGAAAAAAAUAGGACAUCCGCAUUAAAAAAAAAAAUACAAAUAUUUCCUAUUGUCAUUUUUCCAAGAUCUUCCAAUUUCUGGUCUGUGGACCAAAGCACAUUCUUGGUUUUUGAUUCGUUAUUACUUCCGAGUUUUGUCUCUUGUGUUGGUUGGAUGAGGACGCUGGAGAAUGACAUGGGGCUGGCUUGUUUCCUAACAAGCAUUAUCACCGCUCGGUAUGCUCAUCUUAGCCAGCCAGCAUAAAUCACACAUAAAUGACAAUGGCCUGAUAUUGUGACCUAAUUACUACAUUUAUCUCUUCACUCAAAAAUUUUCUCUUUUGACUUUUGGUCCAGAAGAGGGCUUCGGCAGCCCAACUGCAUUUAAGCUUUGCAGGGCUAUCGCAACUCCAGGAAACAUCACAGCAUCUCCAGUCAAUUUGCUCAAAACUUAUCUUCUUUGACUCUGAAUCACAGUCAUUCAUCAUGGUGGAAUAACUCAACUUAAAAAAAUUUUAUACGGUCCUAACAUAGCAACUCGAUUAAUAUCUUAGAUUUCUUCUACAAAUAACUUCAAUUUCUUAUCAGUAAGCAGAGCCAAAAGAAAAAACUUUUCACAAACAAAUCAAACGAGAUGCAUCAAGCCUCAAACUUCUCACCAAAAGGAUAUCCAAAGGCAAUAACUAAACAAACUUUGAUACUCAAAUUUUAAUUCACGACACCGAAACUAAUUAAACAUUUCAUAAAGCUCCCAACUUUCAAAGGCCAAACAACAGCAUAUAAAAACCCAAGAUCCCAUAUCCCUUUUUCUCUUAUUUUCCCUCAGUUUCUCAGCUACCAAACACAUAACCUGUGAAUAUGUGUGUGUAAAAUAAUAAUAAUAAUAAUAAUAAUAAUAAAACUCUGUUUUUUUUUCCCGGACAAAACUUAUACUAAAAACAAAAUAACCCAUUAAAGAGAAGAAUAGUUACAACCCCAUAAACGAACCUGAAUCGCGGCUGGCCGGAGGCGGGACUCAGCUGAAACUAUGGCGGUUGCAGCGGCGUUAACGGUCUCGACGCUGUCGUGAACACUACUCAUCUUAUUUUCAAAUUUUCAAAACAUGAAACGACGACACAAACGAGUUGUGUAAUAACAUCUACAGCUUCCGUUUGGAUCUCCAAACGAAUUUGAAAAUAAGAUGAGUAGAGUUCACAAACGACUCAGCUCAGGGGCCAAAAUAGUUCUUUCCAAAGGUGCAGCACCCUUCACAAAAGGGUGAUCCAAAAGCUUAACUGCUGUUGGACGGUUUAAGGGAUUACGUUGCAAACACAACCUAAUAAAAUCCUUUCCUUCAUCAGAGAGGUCAUCUGGAAUUGUUGGGAGUUCCUUACUAUUCCCAAUCUUAAACAUAGCAGCAACCUGCAGAUCAUAACAUGCAACUAUCUCACACAAUGAACUGAGCUCCAACUGGACAACAUAAACUAUCAUUUUCUGUAUAAGAAAGAUGAAAAUUUAAGAUCGUUUCUGUUGCUUCAGUACUGACCCCUUCAUACUGGCUCCAAGGUGGUUUUGUUGUAGCCAUUUCCAAAACAGUGCACCCAAGACUCCAAAUAUCAACAGCAAGAUUGCAACCACUUGAGUUCUUUAUAACCUGAGUGUAAAUUUAGAUUUGAUAUCACAAUUGAGAACCAUGUUGUUAUUAAUGAGUUCAGGUACAAAAAGGAAUAAUUUCUGACCUCAGGAGCCAUCCAGUAAUGGCUUCCCUUGAAUGAUAAUGGACAUGAAUGGCCGGCAAUCUGCACAGAGCAUUUAAUGUUUCGCUAAAUUCUCGUUUAAUCAGAUGCAAUUUAUACAUUUAUUAAAAGAAAUUAUUAUGCCUAAACUUACAUGCUUUGCCAUCCCAAAAUCUGCCAGCUUGACCCGCCCAUUUGGAUCCACAAGUAUGUUUGCUCCUUUAAUGUCCCUGUAAAAUAAAUGCCCUUUAUUUAAGAAUACAAACAAUGUACAAAUUGAGCAGAGUAGCUAAUCUGUAUAUAGCAGCUUCAAACUUAUUCAAGAAUAGGAGGAUUAUCACCUGUGGACUGUAUGCUUUGAGUGUAAGAAUGCAAGCCCAGACAAGAUUUGUUGUGUAUAAUUACGAAUUGCCGGUUCGCCAAACUGUCCAUAAUCCUGGAGAAGUUUAUAAAUUGACCCACCAGAUACAUACUCCAGGUAUAUAUAAAGUUUGUCCUCAACCUGUUCGGGAAAAAAAAUCCAAUAGUCAUAUUUGUACCAUAUGAAAAGACAAUGUCUGAAAAUAAAUAUCAACAGCUUUAAAUAACAAUUGUCACAUGCUUCAGUGAAUGGAAAUAGAACAAAAAUACUUACUGUUUUAGAUCCAUAGUAUUGCACGAUGUUUGGAUGCCGUAAGCGACUUAAUAAUACAAUUUCCUGCCACAGAACUCGAGUAAGAAUGUUUUCUUAAAGCUAUGCAUAUGUUACAAAACAAGGGAGCAAUUAAAUAAACAAUUCAAAGAAAGGAUGCAGGCAGCGGGGGGGAGGCAAAGAAACAAAAACCAUUAUCUAAUAAACUGAAAGCUGACUGUUAUACUUGGAAGUGAUCAUACCUGCAUCAGCUGCUUAGCACUCUCCUUUGACUUGGCAUCAUCAAAUAAUGUAACUUCCUUCAUUGCACACAUUUCACCACUAUCACUGGACCAGUUAAGAGGAGAAAUCAGAUACAUACAAACUUAAAUAAUGACCAACAUGUAAAAAUACCAAAACAGAUUAAAACAUCAUGUUUAAAAACCUCAGUCCUAAUGAGCCAUUUGUAAUCGAUAAUCAAGAAAAUCUGCUAACACUGAUCUCAACUACUUAGCUUGCUAAUGUACUAAAUUUGAUGGGAGGUUAAUACAAUUGUUUUGCAAGCCGUUUAUUAAUAAAAUCAAAGUGCACAUGCAUUAAAAAAAAUUAAAAAAAAGCAAUAUUCUUUGUGGCAAACCUGUUAAAACAAACAUAAACCACAAACCUGUUAAAACCAACAUAAACAUGUCCAAAUGUGCCUCUACCCAGCAUCUUUCCCUUUUUCCAGUGUGACUCGGGGCUAACUGGAUUUUCCACUCUUCCUGGACUUCGCGGCACAGAGGGUGAUGUUGCAGCCGAAUUUGAAUGAGAAAAGGGAGAAGAAUUGGAUAUUGUUAUAGGAGGAAGAGGCAAGCGGUGGCUUUGUUGUUUUCCAUCAUCAGGCCAGCUUGUCUGCGACUCAAUGGGUGCACCUCCUGCUCUAGGAUGAAUAGGGGUGACAGCACCACUUUGGAUUCUGGAGCUGGGGCCUGGGCUAGUCAUUCUGGGACUAGGUAUUGGUGAAUAUUCUGGGCUACCCCUGCUUUGUAACUGUUGCCAAAAUAACUGUCCUGACAUAUCACCUCCCAUCGAAUUAUUCCCAGAAUUUUGACCAGAACCUGGACUAGAGCAGUGGCCAGAGCCAAGUAAUGUGACAUCUGCAUAAGGCUUCCCAGACCAGAAAGCAGAAUUCACGACUUGCUCACUACCAAAUGCUCUCAGUGGACUUCUGGAGGGACUUGACAACGAGCUGUCAGGAGCACUGCUGAAAGCACCAUGAUACGGAACCUGUAGAUUUGGCACAUGACCACUUAAACGUCUUUGUUUGGGUGAUGGGGAGAGACGAUUACUCAAUGAAAGAUUUGCCGGUUUUUUUUCCUCUCUUGAACUUGUUUGAGAGGCAUUGGAAAGAUGAUCCUUGGGCAUCACACUUAAGGGGUGGAAAGAAAGAUGGAGUCAAUUGAUCAGGAAUAAGUAGAUAUAAUAAAACAUCAAUAACAUGUGAACACAAAUUUCCCAUCCAUUUACAUUUUUAUCCAUUGUCAAAGCGUCAAGGUUAAUGAGUUACGAGCAGGCUAACCUGGAAGGGCUGCUUGCAGCUGUUCUAGUCCCAUUGUCAUAGUCAUUUGCCAGCGGACUGCGAUGACGGGAGUCAGUUUGAUCAUCACUAUCAAUGGAGCUCUCACUGGAAAUAGAGGCGGUGAUCAAAUCUCCAUCCAAGUCAGCAGGAUUUGCCCUACUACGUAUGCAUGCCGGUCUUGGAAGAGGUAAAAACAAUGAAGACUUGGAACCUUUUUCCAGUUUUGGCUUAGUGGAGAUACUAAUUUCAGAAGCUGUACGACUUACAGCUGCAGAGCGCAAACCAGGAAGUGGAAGUGGUUGAGCAUUGGACCUUUCAACAAAACUUUGACU
rnacentral:lncRNA from 1 species